GAUGAACGCUAGCGGCAGGCCUAAUACAUGCAAGUCGGACGGGAUUGGAACCAGAGCUUGCUCUGAUUCCAUGAGAGUGGCGCACGGGUGCGUAACGCGUGAGCAACCUACCUCUAUCAGGGGGAUAGCCUCUCGAAAGAGAGAUUAACACCGCAUAACAUCAACAGUUCGCAUGUCCGGUUGAUUAAAUAUUUAUAGGAUAGAGAUGGGCUCGCGUGACAUUAGCUAGUUGGUAGGGUAACGGCUUACCAAGGCGACGAUGCCUAGGGGCUCUGAGAGGAGAAUCCCCCACACUGGUACUGAGACACGGACCAGACUCCUACGGGAGGCAGCAGUAAGGAAUAUUGGUCAAUGGGCGGAAGCCUGAACCAGCCAUGCCGCGUGUGUGAAGAAGGUCUUCGGAUUGUAAAGCACUUUAAGUCGGGAGGAAGGGCUGUAGGCUAAUACCUUGCAGUUUUGACGUUACCGACAGAAUAAGCACCGGCUAACUUCGUGCCAGCCGCCGCAGUAAGAC
rnacentral:rRNA from 1 species